UGGGGAAUUUUGGACAAUGGGCGAAAGCCUGAUCCAGCAAUGCCGCGUGUGUGAAGAAGGCCUUCGGGUUGUAAAGCACUUUUGUCCGGAAAGAAAUCCUUGGCUCUAAUACAGUCGGGGGAUGACGGUACCGGAAGAAUAAGCACCGGCUAACUACGUGCCAGCAGCCGCGGUAAUACGUAGGGUGCAAGCGUUAAUCGGAAUUACUGGGCGUAAAGCGUGCGCAGGCGGUUUGCUAAGACCGAUGUGAAAUCCCCGGGCUCAACCUGGGAACUGCAUUGGUGACUGGCAGGCUAGAGUAUGGCAGAGGGGGGUGAGAAUUCCACGUGUAGCAGUGAAGUGCGUAGAGAUGUGGAGGAAUACCGAUGGCGAAGGCAGCCCCCUGGGCCAAUACUGACGCUCAUGCACGAAAGCGUGGGGAGCAAACAGGAUUAGAUACCCUGGUAGUCCACGCCCUAAACGAUGUCAACUAGUUGUUGGGGAUUCAUUUCCUUAGUAACGUAGCUAACGCGUGAAGUUGACCGCCUGGGGAGUACGGUCGCAAGAUUAAAACUUAAAGGAAUUGACGGGGUCAUAGCUGUUU
rnacentral:rRNA from 1 species